GAGUAAAAACAUUCAAUUUAUUAUUAUUAAUAUGUUUACAAUACAAAAUAGUUAUUUUAUUCUUUACUUAUAAAUCAAAUUUACAAUAAGAAUACUGAAAUCCAUUCUCUUCAAAAUCACUUCGUUGAAAUACCGAUUUCUCAAAUUCUGGAGCACUGGCAAAAUGUUUCCCACCCUUCCAGCCAUAGCUAAUCGGAUCCUUGGGAAUAGUCACUUGAAUAUCAAAAUAGUCCGGUGCUAACUUUUCGAGAUCUUUUUGCAAUCGUGGUAAGAAUCCUGGAAAAAGACAGCUUCCACCAAUUACGACGACAUUUUUCAAAAGUGCUGAGUGUGAACAUUUUGGGCAAUCGUUAAGAGCAUCCAAUACAGUUUCAGGAAUUCCCAUUUGAUUUAUUCCCACGUCACAUGGAUUGAAUAAAAGUUCAGGAAUAACAAACCGUUCAUUGCAUAUAUUUAUACUCUGUUGGCCGGUGGAAUUCGUUGAUAUUCUUUGCAAACAAAUAAAAUUGCGUCAUUAUUUUGGUACGGAUCAUGAAGAAAAGGGAAAAGUCGUAAAGAAGAAUGAAUCUUUUAGAUUAGAAAAGAAAUAUCUCUACAAAACGAUUUCCCGCCAAUAGUCAUGCUGUACAAGAACAAGCAUCUAGUCUGGUCAUACUGAAAAUAGUCCCAAAAUAUGUAACUGAUAUUUGUGGGACAGGUGGAAAAGAAUAAAGCAUAAUACGCCUUAGAAACAAAUGUGGAAUGAAAAGAUGUAGAGAAUUGCCAAGAUUUGUGUAUCAUUUUUGACAAUGAAGUAAAAGGCAACAUAUAUUUGCGUAAACAAAGACAGUCUUGAGUGUCUUUUUAUAUUUUGUAACCCUUGAUGGGAAAAUCAUACGCAAUAUUGAAACCAUUACCGUGUUAAAACCAGAGAGCAUUAAUUUUUCAUCAUCUUGUAGAAAAUCAGUCUUAUUCUAGUCUAGUAUGAUUCACAAUUUCAUUGCAAGAGAUGGAGGGAUUUCAAAAUGAUUUUAUACGCAAGUUAUUUGAAACCCCAAUUGCGAAACAGUGUGGUGGUGACGUUGUAACUUUCAAUUAAAUUGCAAAUAUUCUUUUAAAUUUAUUUUCAGUUUGUAAAUAGAAAAAAACACGUGACCAAAUA